UUAUAAUAUGAAUGUAUAAUAAGCCAAGAUUCAGUACUUGUAAAAAACACAAACAAAAUGUUUUUCGAUGUAAAGACACAUCUAGAAAUUUAAAUCUUUCGGCAAAAUAACGAAGGUUUUGAAACGUUACAGAUGUGUACAUUAUUUUCAUAUCAACAAGUAAAAUACGAAUAUAUACAUUAUACAUCCAAAUAUUUUAAUAAUUAUCCAUUUUAAAUACUCAGGAUGUUCAUUUAAAAGCCAUAUUUUAAUAUAACACAUUAAAUUUCCAUUUAGACAUAGUGUAUUUCUCGUAGCUUUUACAUGAUAUAAAAUAUUUUAAUAGAUGUUUCCAGGUGUACAUAUCUGUCAUUCUUAUAUCAAGGCUCAUAUUUACACUGUAAAUUACUUCUAUCUGGUAUAGUGUAUUUAUUUAUCUAUUUAUCAUAAUAAAUAAAAUUUAAAUAUU